CAGUCGCCACGGGAAUACGAAGGGGGCUAGCGUUGUUCGGAAUUACUGGGCGUAAAGCGCACGUAGGCGGACAUUUAAGUCAGGGGUGAAAUCCCAGAGCUCAACUCUGGAACUGCCUUUGAUACUGGGUAUCUUGAGUAUGGAAGAGGUUAGUGGAAUUGCGAGUGUAGAGGUGAAAUUCGUAGAUAUUCGCAGGAACACCAGUGGCGAAGGCGGCUAACUGGUCCAUAACUGACGCUGAGGUGCGAAAGCGUGGGGAGCAAACAGGAUUAGAUACCCCGGUAGUCCCUGUCUCUUAUAC
rnacentral:rRNA from 1 species